UGCGCGAGUCAUUGGGAAUUAAAAAACCUAAAGGCGCAAUGAAAGCGAAGGCCGCCUUGCGCGUGCCAAAGGAGGAUGGGCCGUAGCCUUUGGGCUCGACCCCGCACUCCAGGGGCGUCUCGUUCUCCUUAUGCGAGUUGAGGCGCACCCAGAGCGUACACGCUGGGACCCGAAAGGUGGUGAACUAUGCCUGGUCAGGACGAAGUCAGGGGAAACCCUGAUGGAGGUCCGUAGCGAUUCUGACGUGCAAAUCGAUCGUCGGAACUGGGUAUAGGGGCGAAAGACUAAUCGAAUCAUCUAGUAGCUGGUUCCCUCCGAAGUUUCCCUCAGGAUAGCUGGCGUACGUAUGAGCGAGUCUCAUCCGGUAAAGCGAAUGAUUAGAGGCAUUGGGGUCGAAACGGCCUCAACCUAUUCUCAAACUUUAAAUGGGUGAGAUCUCCGGCUUGCUUGAAAGCGUGAAGCCGUGAGAUCGGAUCAGUGUGCCAAGUGGGCCACUUUUGGUAAGCAGAACUGGCGCUGUGGGAUGAACCAAACGCAGAGUUAAAGCGCCUAAAUCGACGCUAAUGGGAUACCAUGAAAGGCGUUG
rnacentral:rRNA from 1 species